UACAGAGGGUGCAAGCGUUGUUCGGAAUUAUUGGGCGUAAAGCGCGUGUAGGCGGCCCUGCAAGUCGGAUGUGAAAUCCCACGGCUCAACCGUGGAAGUGCAUUCGAAACUGCAGGGCUAGAGUCCUGGAGAGGAAGGUGGAAUGCUUGGUGUAGAGGUGAAAUUCGUAGAUAUCAAGCGGAACACCGGUGGCGAAGGCGGCCUUCUGGACAGUGACUGACGCUGAGACGCGAAAGCGUGGGGAGCAAACAGG
rnacentral:rRNA from 1 species